UGGUUUUGUCUUAUGUAACAUUAAUAAUGCUGUACAUUUCAACCAGAGCAGUGUUGUUCUAUUUUGUGAUAGGGUUCAUUAACAUUAUAAAAAGGAUUCAGUGUGAUGGAAGGUGUACAAUGAAAUCUAAAAAGAGAGAAAUAUUAUUUUGUUGGGAAAUCUAAUCUUUCAUAGGCAAUGUGGAUACAAUAAUCAGUUUUUGACAUUAAAAAAAACCCACUAGUGACGUGUUGGCCACGAACGAAACGGCUCUCAGAGCCGACUUGUUUAUGUGACCGUUAGGAGAAAGGUCCCUUCUGCAGGAACUGGCUCCCUCUUGGAGAAGUCAAAGUGAGUUACAUAGACUGUACCCGCAGGCCCUGGAGCCACUAGAACACAGCAAAACUUGAGCGCACAUGUGCAGCGGGCCUCAGUGAAGCUGACCUCCAGUAAAAGCAAAUAGGCUGUGCGGUUAGUUUCUGAGAUAUUACACUUUAUUUUAUAGGUUAUUCUUAACCCUAACCCAGACUGCACCAAAACAGUUCAAAGUAGUCUACUUUUUAGUGCUAUGUUUGUGCUGGUUUGUGCUGUUGAAAUAUAAUUUGUGUUGCUAUGGUUUCUGAGAUAUAACAAGUUUUAUUGUUGUGUGAUGCUCCAAAACAUUCCAAAAUAGUCUACAUUUUAGUUCUUCGUUUGUGCAGUUAAAAUUGGGGCGACAGUGGCACAAACCUAUUUGCUUUUACUUUUCAAGUGGGGGAGAUCAGCUUCACUGAGCUCCGAUGCUGUGAAGGCAGGGAGAGGGGUGGCAUGCACAAAAUGCCUGUGAGACAAAUUACAUUAACUGAUAAGACCUGUAAAUAUUGGUGGGGACAAAUCUGUAAGAGGAGAAAGGAAAAUCAAACAAAGCUUCAGAAAGGUGAGGACAUGAGUGAAAACAGGACAGGCACCAAGGUUUGGACAAAUUUUAACUACAGUGACAAUUAAAAGACAGAGUGUAGAUUGUGCAAAGGGUAAAUAUAUCCAAAAGGCUAUAAUAGUUCAAAACUAAUACAAAUUUUACUUGCAGAGUUUGUUUUUGUCAUUUAAAAUGUGUUUAUGUAGCUCUCUGCUUCAUGUUGAAUAAAAUAAGUUAUUUAAACAAUAAACACUUGAUAAAAUGUAUAUUGUAGAUUAGUAAUUCAGUUUACAUACAGUUUUAUAUAAUUUCUGGUGAUAAAUUCAUUUAGGAAACGAAAAAUAUGAGGAGCUGUUUAAGAGCCGAAAGAGCCGGUUCAUUUUAGUGAGCCGAGCUGUAAGACCCUAACCUAGCAGCAGCCAGAUCUCUAUGUGUAGCCUCGUGUAGAGUCUACACAUUUAGAUCUGGACUCUCUGCAGCAGAAACCGGCUAAAAGAGGGAGGGCUGUGUGGUAGAAUAUUUUGAACUGACUGAAGGACGCGCAAGGUAGUGCCCGGCUGGCACUAGCUGGCUGCUGCCAGGAUAGGGCUCUUGAUACGAUCUUCAAAACGAACUCCCACCCUACAGCAAAGUGCUGACACACAAUUGGAUUGACCCAUUUUGGGCCGGAUGCCGGACGCUUUUAACUAGUGAUGGGAACCCUGGAUCUUUUAAGAGAACCAGUUCUUACGGCCAGCUGUAACACACCAAACAUGGCUUUUUUGCUAGAUUGGUUAUCUACACUGAACAAAAAUAUAAACGCAACACUUUUGUCUUUGCUCCCAUUUUUCAUGAGCUGAACUCAAACAGUUGAAACUUUAUCUACAUACACCAAACACCCAUGACCCUCAAAUAUUAUUCUGAAAUCUGUCUACAUGUGUGUUCUCGAGCACUUUUUCUUUACCAAGAUAAUCCAUCCCACCUCAAAGGUGUGGCAAAUCAAGGGGCUGAUUAGACAGCUUGAAUAAUGUAAAGGAGUGCCUUAGACUGCCCUUCAUAUUUCAAACUUUGCUAACUUUAUUAAUAACUCUGCUAAAUAGUCAUAGCCAUAGUUCAAAUUAUUGAUAAACUUGUGUUAAAUCAUCUAAUCUGACAUCUUUCCAGACAUGCAGAGCCAAUGCCCCUCAGGAGCUGGGAUUCCAGAGGAUUUCAAUGAGAAAGAGAAAACAGCAUCUUUCAAAAGAUAAAAGCUGAGAAACAAAAGCAAUGGGCUCGACCAAAGUUCUGAAGAUGAACCCACCUUGUGCACCCAAAGGCCUACAGGGAAAUCAAAGAAGAAGCAGACCAACAAAGGAACACCCACCCAUUCCCCUUCCCUGCUCACUGUCCAUGGUUUUACUCAAGAUCAUCCAGAUAUGAUGAGCCAAGAACCUUCAGGAGCUGAGUGGUCUAAGGAGUCAAAUGGAAAGGACAAAACAGACAUGGAUCAACAGGAUUUAACCUCUAAGAAAUUCAACCGAAAGAUUUGGAGCAAAUCUGGGAAAGAAGCGGUUUGGCAACAGCUUGGUCGGUACAUCACUCUUGAAAGAGUUCCUGGUAAAAUGCUGUGUGUGAAAGCACUCAGUACAGAGACAGCACUUUAGAACAGAAGUUGGGAAGAUGUAAAAAACUGCAUCUAUAACCACAUCCCUGAUCAAAAAAGAAAAAGGCUGUAGUUUUUGCGUUAAAAGCAGCAGGAGCUGAGUUAAUGCAUGUAAUGUUACAAGCAGAGCAUUUAAUGAUACCUAGUUAUUUUUAUUUUAUGAGACAUUGGAAAUAUGUUAAAAACUAUAAUUAUAACAGCAUUGCAGAUCAAAAAUGUUACAAGCAGAGCAUUUUAUGGUACCUAAAGAUAUUUAAAUUUUAUUACAUGUUGGAAAGAUGUUAAAAACUAUAAGUAGAACAGCAUCACAGUAGCAUUGCAGGGAUUAAUCGUUUUGACUAUUAACCCUGGUUAACCCCAAGUAAAUAGAUCUUCAACACCAUCAAACUAAAACAAAAAGACAAUAGCGUAACUCGUAAGUACAAAAACAAAACUGAAACUGAACACGCGCCCGCAGCAAAAGCAUGAUCAGUGAAAACAACCAUCGGGACUCCUCCAUUUCUACCUCGGAAGAGGUUGAAUUCUCCUGUGUGGGAAUAGUUUAGAUAUAUUAGAUAUCAUCCCACACAGGAGACUUCAACCGCUUCUUAGGUGGAAAUGGAGGAGUCCCGAAGGUUGUUGUCACUGGUUCUGCUUCUGCUGCGUGAGCACGUUCAGUUUCACUUUUGUCUUUGUCCAUGAGGGUCAUGCCAUAGUCCUUUUUUUAUUGUUGGUGUGGUAGACAUCUUUAAGGGGGGUUAUCAGGGGUUAAUAGUCAAACUGGUUAAUCUCUGCAAGCCUACAUCACAGCUCAAAAAAGAAAAAAAACUGUAGUUGAUAUGUUUUAUUUUAAAAGCAGCAGAAGCUGAGUUAAUGCAUGCAAUGUUAAAUGCAGAGCAUUUAAUGGUACCUAAAGUUGUAUUAAUUUAUUAGAAGUUAGAAAUAUGUCAGAACUACUAGUAGAGCAGCAUCACAGCUCAAAAAGAAAAUAAAAACAAUAUUUGAAAAUUUUCUUUUUCAAAGCAGAAGGAUCUGAGUUCAUUUAUGUAAUUUUAUGCACCGUGUUUACUUUAUUUGGUAUCUAAAAUUUAUAUUUUAUCAGCAGAUGAAUUAGAAAGAUUUUAAAAACUGCAUGUAUAACUGCAUUUUAGCUCAAAAAAGAAAAAAGUAAACAUAUUCAAUUUUAAAAGAAACAGGAGCUGAGUUCAUAUAUGUAUGUAAUGUUUAAAGGUGCCUAAAGUUUAUUUUAGUUCAACUGUUGCAGUCACAAUUGCAAAGUUUAAUGAAAUCCUUUUUACUUCAAUAAAAUAACUACUUUGUAGUAAUUUCUGUCAUGUUUCCUGUUAUUUAUGUUCUGUAACUAAGAUUUACAGGGAGCUGCACGGCUGAAUGCAGUUUGAAUCCAGCUUAGUCUUUAUGGUGGUUGCAUAUUUUUCCUAUGUAUGUCUGGGUUCCUCCAGGAUAAUUUGAUACCUUUCACCAUCCAAAAUCAUUCUAUGUCUAUUAGUCG